rnacentral:rRNA from 1 species
GAUGAACGCUGGCGGCGUGCCUAAUACAUGCAAGUCGAGCGAACGGACGAGAAGCUUGCUUCUCUGAUGUUAGCGGCGGACGGGUGAGUAACACGUGGAUAACCUACCUAUAAGACUGGGAUAACUUCGGGAAACCGUAGCUAAUACCGGAUAAUAUUUUGAACCGCAUGGUUCAAAAGUGAAAGACGGUCUUGCUGUCUCUUUUAGAUGGAUCCGCGCUGCAUUAGCUAGUUGGUAAGGUAACGGCUUACCAAGGCAACGAUGCAUAGCCGACCUGAGAGGGUGAUCGGCCACACUGGAACUGAGACACGGUCCAGACUCCUACGGGAGGCAGCAGUAGGGAAUCUUCCGCAAUGGGCGAAAGCCUGACGGAGCAACGCCGCGUGAGUGAUGAAGGUCUUCGGAUCGUAAAACUCUGUUAUUAGGGAAGAACAUAUGUGUAAGUAACUGUGCACAUCUUGACGGUACCUAAUCAGAAAGCCACGGCUAACUACGUG